AGAGUUUGAUCAUGGCUCAGAACGAACGCUGGCGGCGCGUUUUAAGCAUGCAAGUCGGACGGGAUCCCUGGUGCUUGCACUGGGGUGAGAGUGGCGAACGGGUGAGUAACACGUAGAUAAUCUGCCCUGGGAUUGGGGAUAGCCUGUGGAAACACAGAGUAAUACCGAAUACGAACUAUAUAUGAGAAUGUAUAGAGGAAAGUCCCUACGGGGACGUCCUGGGAUGAGUCUGCGGCUGAUUAGCUAGUUGGUGGGGUAAGAGCCUACCAAGGCGACGAUCAGUAGCCGGCCUGAGAGGGUGAUCGGCCACACUGGGACUGAGAUACGGCCCAGACUCCUACGGGAGGCAGCAGCUAAGAAUCUUCCGCAAUGGGCGCAAGCCUGACGGAGCGACGCCGCGUGAACGAAGAAGGCCGAAAGGUUGUAAAGUUCUUUUCUUGGGGAGGAAUAACGAGGGCAGGGAAUGGCCCUUGGAUGACGUUAACCGAGGAAUAAGCCCCGGCUAAUUACGUGCCAGCAGCCGCGGUAACACGUAAGGGGCGAGCGUUGUUCGGAAUUAUUGGGCGUAAAGGGCGUGUAGGCGGACUGGAAAGUCUGGUGUGAAAAACCGCAGCUUAACUGCGGGAACGCGCUGGAAACUAUCAGACUUGAGUAUAGGAAGGGAAGCUAGAAUUCCAGGUGUAGGGGUGAAAUCUGUAGAUAUCUGGAAGAAUACCGGUGGCGAAGGCGAGCUUCUGGCCAUAUACUGACGCUGANNNGGAAAGCGUGGGGAGCGAACAGGAUUAGAUACCCUAGUAGUCC
rnacentral:rRNA from 1 species